UCUGGGGGGAUUGGGGAGUGGAGGUGGAUUUUCCACUCAUGGAAGGGGAGGAAAGGGCAGAGGGUGGGGGUUUCCUUGGGAAGCUCAGGGAUGAGUCACCAAGGGCCUGGGGAGUGGAGGGUGGUGAGGCUAUGGAGACCAGUCGUGCUGGGGGCCGUAGGGUGUUGAGCAACAGUGGAACACAGCCAGCACGAGAGGAGUCGGCUCAGACACCGGGAAGACACAGCCAGAGGCCCCCUGAGAAGCGUUCCCAAGCCUCUGAAGGCUUAUGUGUGAGGGAGACCUGGGCCCAUGCCCUGUGCCUGAUGGAGGUAAGACGAGAUGACGCGGGAGAGACUCCGAUUAGACAACAGGAAGGAGUUGGCUUUGAGAAGCACCAGGUGUAAGGUCCAGAUUAGCCGGUGGAUUUCAGGAAGCAUCGGCGGACAGAGCAGCGAGCUGGUCUCAAGAGGUGCGUGCUUUCCAUCCUGCGUGAACAGGGCGGUUGGACUGGAGGCCUGCAGGGCCCUGGCCUGCCCUUAAAUUCUUAGCGCUCGCAGCUGGGGGUGGGGCUUGGCGUCUGGAGCCGGGGUGCGGGGAGUCAGGGUGGACUCCAGCCUCCUCCCAGCCCCUUCCAGUGCCCCUUGUGUCAACCCAGAGGGAGGAGAAGAAAAGGAUCCCUUACUGGCCAUAUUGGUGUCUCCGGCAUCUGCUUCUCGACAGGGUCCCUUUGUCGUGGGACAGGUGUCGGCCUGAGCCGGAGCUCAGGAUCUACGAAACAGCAUAGCCCUUAGGUGGUUCUGGAAGGAAGCCGAGAGAAAUAUCAGGAUGUGGGCCCCGUGCUCAGCGAUUGGAGAGGGAGACCCGCACUCAGGGCUCAGAGGGACACGUGAAGGCCAAGAAGCACGGACCCGGGCGUUAGAGGUGGCCGUGGCCCCAAGUGCUGGCAGGCACAGCCUCCUAAGUGAGGAGUCUUGUUUUCAGUAAGCAAAGGAAGGACUGGAUGAGCUGGAAGGAAAUUGUGAGGUGUCAUCGCAGGGCUCCAGGGGGAGACACCACUGUUUCUUGGACCAUCUGCUUUAUCUGAAGACUUCCAGCCGAUAAGCGGGGGAAGCUCAAACACCGUCUUGUCUGAGUCGGGGACUUGAAGUCCACAUUCUUUCCGGGCAGCUGCGAAAUCCUUUCCGGGACCCAGGUGUCCCGGGGGGCAGGAUGGCCCAGGAGCUCAGCGAGAAGGACCUGUUGAAGAUGAACGUUGAACAGCUCAAGAAGGAAGUGAAGAACACAAGAGUUCCGCCUCUGUCCCCACCCUGCCCAGGACCUGUUUUCUUGGACCGAGCGAAUCAUGGAUCCCACCAGACAAACAAGGACUCUAGGGCCACACUUUGUUUCCUCACAGAUUUCCAAGACGGGAAAGGAAAUCAAGGA